UACGUAGGGUGCAAGCGUUGUCCGGAAUUAUUGGGCGUAAAGAGUUCGUAGGCGGUUUGUCGCGUCCGUUGUGAAAGCUUGGGGCUCAACCCCAAGUCUGCAGUGGAUACGGGCAGACUAGAGUCAGGUAGGGGAGAACGGAAUUCCUGGCGUAGCGGUGAAAUGCGCAGAUAUCAGGAGGAACACCGGUGGCGAAGGCGGAUCUCUGGGCCUGUCCUGACGCUGAGGCGCGAAAGCUAGGGGAGCGAACAGG
rnacentral:rRNA from 1 species